rnacentral:rRNA from 1 species
AUGUGGCGGAUAAAAAAAAGCCAUCCAAUCACAGCCGUAAUCGAGAGAACCAGCAAUACUAAUGCCACAGUCGCAUGGAUUUCUUUCCAUAGGUAUAUAUCCCUAUGUGGAAACAGACACAAAACAUCGCAUACCAUCCCUGAAAAAAGACAGCAAUGGAGUAGGAGUCGGCUGAAAACGAAAAGAGUUGGCAAAUCCAAACGAAUGCGGACCAAAUCCAUGAUUCAAAUAAGCUCCAGCCAGUCACAAAGGGGAAGAAAUCUCACCAGCACGCAAACGCUAGGGUUCGUCUUUGAACGAACCGUUGAACCACCGAACGGAGCUGCUGAGGAAAAGGAAAAGCAGGGGACCUUCUACGUGAUGCGCGUUGAGUCCAACAGACGCUCGCCACACAGUGGGGUCACCCUACUGGGCUGGCCUAGCUUAGAGCAAGUACGAAGGAACACAUGUGAUAAUUCCAAAAAACGCAAUAAGCGCAUGCAAGGGAUCGAACCCAGGACCUUGCAAGAACUUACUACGUCCCUAGCCACUAUAAUACCUGCGAAUUCGUGUCCAAGAUAG